rnacentral:rRNA from 1 species
GACGAACGCUGGCGGCGUGCCUAAUACAUGCAAGUUGAGCGCUGAAGGUUGGUACUUGUACCAACUGGAUGAGCAGCGAACGGGUGAGUAACGCGUGGGGAAUCUGCCUUUGAGCGGGGGCAACAUUUGGAAACGAAUGCUAAUACCGCAUAAAAACUUUAAACACAAGUUUUAAGUUUGAAAGAUGCAAUUGCAUCACUCAAAGAUGAUCCCGCGUUGUAUUAGCUAGUUGGUGAGGUAAAGGCUCACCAAGGCGAUGAUACAUAGCCGACCUGAGAGGGUGAUCGGCCACAUUGGGACUGAGACACGGCCCAAACUCCUACGGGAGGCAGCAGUAGGGAAUCUUCGGCAAUGGACGAAAGUCUGACCGAGCAACGCCGCGUGAGUGAAGAAGGUUUUCGGAUCGUAAAACUCUGUUGGUAGAGAAGAACGUUGGUGAGAGUGGAAAGCUCAUCAAGUGACGGUAACUACCCAGAAAGGGACGGCUAACUACGUG